rnacentral:misc_RNA from 1 species
UCUCCGUAGGUGAACCUGCGGAGGGAUCAUUACAGAGUUCUCGCCCUCGCGGGUAGAUCUCCCACCCACUGUUAUCGUUACUGUGUUGCUUUGGCGGGCCGCCGGGCCCCGCUCGGCCGCCGGCUCCGGCUGGCGCGCGCCCGCCAGAGGCCCAGCAAGCUCUGAAUGUUAGUGUCGUCUGAGUACUAUAUAAUAGUUAAAACUUUCAACAACGGAUCUCUUGGUUCUG